rnacentral:rRNA from 1 species
UUAAUAUARAAUAAUUCCUGCCCAGUGAAUGUAGUUUAACGGCCGCGGUAUCCUAACCGUGCAAAGGUAGCAUAAUAAUUUGCCCAUUAAUUGUGGGCUAGAAUGAAUGGAUUUACGAAAUAAAAACUGUCUCAAUUAGUUAAUUAAAAAUUAUUCUCUAUAUGAAGAAAUAUAGAUUCAUUCGAAGGACAAGAAGACCCUAUAGAGCUUUAUUUAAAUUAUUGGGUUUAGCUAUAAUAUAAUUUGGUUGGGGCGACUCUGGAUUUAGAAAUCAUCCAUUAUAUAGUAGAUACAUUAAUCAAAUAACUGAUCCUAGAAAGAUUGUAAAAGUAAGCUACCUUAGGGAUAACAGGCUAAUCCCAUUAAAGAGUUCAUAUCUACAGUGGGGGUUGGCACCUCGAUGUUGGCUUAGGGUAUCAGUACAGCGCAAAAGUUGUAUAUGGAGGUUURUUCAACC